rnacentral:rRNA from 1 species
CGAGCGGAUGACAGGAGCUUGCUCCUGAAUUCAGCGGCGGACGGGUGAGUAAUGCCUAGGAAUCUGCCUGGUAGUGGGGGACAACGUUUCGAAAGGAACGCUAAUACCGCAUACGUCCUACGGGAGAAAGCAGGGGACCUUCGGGCCUUGCGCUAUCAGAUGAGCCUAGGUCGGAUUAGCUAGUUGGUGAGGUAAUGGCUCACCAAGGCGACGAUCCGUAACUGGUCUGAGAGGAUGAUCAGUCACACUGGAACUGAGACACGGUCCAGACUCCUACGGGAGGCAGCAGUGGGGAAUAUUGGACAAUGGGCGAAAGCCUGAUCCAGCCAUGCCGCGUGUGUGAAGAAGGUCUUCGGAUUGUAAAGCACUUUAAGUUGGGAGGAAGGGUUGUAGAUUAAUACUCUGCAAUUUUGACGUUACCGACAGAAUAAGCACCGGCUAACUCUGUGCCAGCAGCCGCGGUAAUACAGAGGGUGCAAGCGUUAAUCGGAAUUACUGGGCGUAAAGCGCGCGUAGGUGGUUCGUUAAGUUGGAUGUGAAAUCCCCGGGCUCAACCUGGGAACUGCAUUCAAAACUGUCGAGCUAGAGUAUGGUAGAGGGUGGUGGAAUUUCCUGUGUAGCGGUGAAAUGCGUAGAUAUAGGAAGGAACACCAGUGGCGAAGGCGACCACCUGGACUGAUACUGACACUGAGGUGCGAAAGCGUGGGGAGCAAACAGGAUUAGAUACCCUGGUAGUCCACGCCGUAAACGAUGUCAACUAGCCGUUGGGAGCCUUGAGCUCUUAGUGGCGCAGCUAACGCAUUAAGUUGACCGCCUGGGGAGUACGGCCGCAAGGUUAAAACUCAAAUGAAUUGACGGGGGCCCGCACAAGCGGUGGAGCAUGUGGU